CCUACGGGUGGCAGCAGUCGAGAAUCAUUCACAAUGGGGGAAACCCUGAUGGUGCGACGCCGCGUGGGGGAAUGAAGGUCUUCGGAUUGUAAACCCCUGUCAUGUGGGAGCAAAUUAAAAAGAUAGUACCACAAGAGGAAGAGACGGCUAACUCUGUGCCAGCAUCCGCGGUAAUACAGAGGUCUCAAGCGUUGUUCGGAAUCACUGGGCGUAAAGCGUGCGUAGGCUGUUUCGUAAGUCGUGUGUGAAAGGCGCGGGCUCAACCCGCGGAGUGCAGAUGAUACUGGGAGACUAGAGUAAGGGAGGGGUAACCGGAAUUCUCGGUGUAGCAGUGAAAUGCGUAGAUAGCGAGAGGAACACUCGUGGCGAAGGCGGGUUCCUGGACAUUAACUGACGCUGAGGCACGAAGGCCAGGGGAGCGAAAGGGAUUAGAUACCCUUGUAGUC
rnacentral:rRNA from 1 species